rnacentral:rRNA from 1 species
GAUCCUGGCUCAGGAUGAACGCUAGCUACAGGCUUAACACGUGCAAGUCGAGGGGCAGCAUCAUCAAAGCUUGCUUUGAUGGAUGGCGGCCGGCGCACGGGUGAGUAACACGUAUCCAACCUGCCGACAACACUGGGAUAGCCUUUCGAAAGAAAGAUUAAUACCGGAUGGUAUAGUUUUCCCGCAUGGGAUAAUUAUUAAAGAAUUUCGGUUGUCGAUGGGGAUGCGUUCCAUUAGGCAG